GAGCGGACAGAUGGGAGCUUGCUCCCUGAUGUUAGCGGCGGACGGGUGAGUAACACGUGGGUAACCUGCCUGUAAGACUGGGAUAACUCCGGGAAACCGGGGCUAAUACCGGAUGCUUGUUUGAACCGCAUGGUUCAAACAUAAAAGGUGGCUUCGGCUACCACUUACAGAUGGACCCGCGGCGCAUUAGCUAGUUGGUGAGGUAAUGGCUCACCAAGGCAACGAUGCGUAGCCGACCUGAGAGGGUGAUCGGCCACACUGGGACUGAGACACGGCCCAGACUCCUACGGGAGGCAGCAGUAGGGAAUCUUCCGCAAUGGACGAAAGUCUGACGGAGCAACGCCGCGUGAGUGAUGAAGGUUUUCGGAUCGUAAAGCUCUGUUGUUAGGGAAGAACAAGUACCGUUCGAAUAGGGCGGUACCUUGACGGUACCUAACCAGAAAGCCACGGCUAACUACGUGCCAGCAGCCGCGGUAAUACGUAGGUGGCAAGCGUUGUCCGGAAUUAUUGGGCGUAAAGGGCUCGCAGGCGGUUCCUUAAGUCUGAUGUGAAAGCCCCCGGCUCAACCGGGGAGGGUCAUUGGAAACUGGGGAACUUGAGUGCAGAAGAGGAGAGUGGAAUUCCACGUGUAGCGGUGAAAUGCGUAGAGAUGUGGAGGAACACCAGUGGCGAAGGCGACUCUCUGGUCUGUAACUGACGCUGAGGAGCGAAAGCGUGGGG
rnacentral:rRNA from 1 species